rnacentral:lncRNA from 1 species
GUCCUGCCGCGGUCGACUUGUAUGUUGUUUUUAUCUGUCAGUUUGUUAAUCCCAAGAUUCCCUUUGGAAAUAAAGCGAAAUUGACCGUAGUGGUUAUGACCAACUUCUAGUCUAAACUUAAUUCUUGGAACUCAAGGAUCUGAGCAAACAACUGUCAGGGUGACACAUUGCUUAAACGGUGACAGCGGUCGAGAGCCUUGUCCCGGAUGGAGAGUGGAGCAAACGGAGCACGUGCCGUCCGAAGUCUAGAUUUGUCACCUAUGGACCGCAAAGGCUAAGCCUCGAUGGAGUCUCCUCCCUCCUAUCCCGGACAAUGAUGCUGGGGGUUGAUGCUGUUGAGUCCGAUUGGUCGCGCCCACCGGGCACAGCUGAAGCACGUCCCGCUUCAGAGAUCUGUCAAUCUCUGGGUCCACCUCCCGUUGCUCCGGUUGUUUCUGCUCCCAGCUCUCCGUAGAGGGUCAGCUGCAAAGGGUCAGGCGAAUAUGGCCUGGGUGAAUAACUGGGACCCAGGGAUUCAAGUCGAGAGUCCCGUACGAGGAAAGAAAAGAUCAGGAUUGCUUCAGGCAGACUAGGGGGCACAAGCAGCUGAUUAGGGAAAAAAUUCGGACCGCGCUGAACGGCAGCCCCCACUUCCAACCAGCGAGACCACCCGGACGCUGAGAACUGUGUACAGGAGAGAGGGUCUUUGACUUUUUUCAGGAGUCGCUCCUCUAUCCGCUUUUCCUGUCACUAGCAGCGGCAGGGACUCAUACAGAACCCUUCUCCUUUCUCCUUUUCUUAGUUUCUUCCCCCUCUUUUGUCUGUCUGUCUGUCGGCCUGUUUGCUUGUUUGUUUGUUUUUAACGAUGAGGUCUCACAUUGUAACUUAGAACUUACGCGGUAGCCCUGGCUGCCCUCCCGCCUCAGUGCUUGAACUACAAAUAUCCACAAUCUAGCUCUCCAGCUGAGACAUUCUUAUACAUUUUUCUAGAUGUACUUAAUAGACAUAAAGUGAUUUUUGUUUGUUUGAUUGGUUGGUUAUCAGUUUUAUAUAUAUACACACACAAACCAGAGUCAACUAGAUAAGAGAUUCCUUAUUUUGUGAUUCUUCUUGCUUUUACAUAACUUUGCUCAGUUUAUUUUGCUAUAAGGUGAAAAAGGAGAGGCUCUUAACUCAGGAAGCCUCCGAGCAGGAAAAACAAUUUCAUUUUUAUUUCAUAGUCUCCUACUGAAAUUCAGUGUUCUCUUCAUCUGUGAGCCUAGGCAAGCUGCCACGUGGCGCUAGCCAUACCCGUGCCUUGUUCUCAACGGUGUUAUACUCGCUGUAAAUUUUUCAAAACUUUGAUUGCAGCCAUUGGAGUUUCAAAGAGCGGUAGCUGCGAGGAAGAGCCUAGAAACUGCGAUUUAAUGGACUAACAAACCCCGCAUCAUCAGGAAGCAGUGAUGCACAUCUUCAACCCCAGAACGCUGUGUUGGAGCCCUCCCCUGGGCUGUGGGAAUAGCUCAGUGGGGGGAAGAGCAUGGCUUGCAAGAGCGAGCACCUACCUGAAGCCGUGAAGGGAGGGAAUACGUGAGGGGGGGGGUACGCGGGGGGGGGGGGGGCUGCCACACCCAGAGACUCACAGAUCACCCGAUCUAAUCAGCAAAAUCUGGGUCCCCAUGAGAGGCCUGGUUUCAGAAGGCAAGAUAAACAAGUCCUGAGAAACAAACAUCCAAGGCUGACCUCUGGUCUCCACAUACACAUGCCUGUGUUAAAUUGACAUCUGACCCACAAAGAAACAAAUACCCUAUUAACUGAUCUUCCCCCACCCCACCUCCAGCAUGCCUCAAAUAAUCUCUGUCUCCUGUCUCUGGCUCCUGCUGAGUGUGUCUGUUUUGGGGGUGGGGGUUGCCUGAGGAGUUUUAUAUUUGUUUAUUUUUGAGGCCAGGUCUCACUAUGCAGCCCUGGCUGGCCUGGAGCUCAUUAUGUAGACCAGGUCCACUCUCACACAGAGAAAUCUUCCUGCUAGGAUCUUUGAGCCUCUGUAAAACCCAUAACAGGGCCAAACUCCUGGAGUUAUUAAAGAUGACAUGGUUACAUGG